AUCCAGAUGACGAGUCUCAAAUUGGACGAAAUGCGUAUCUUGGCUGGAU
rfam:Trichobilharzia regenti genome assembly, scaffold: TRE_scaffold0039869